AAAAAAAAAAAAAAAAAGAAGCUCUUUAGUGUGAUUUGUACACGGCGGCGGUGAGAGAUUAUAAAGGCCCUGCGCCUUCUCAUUUUAAUUGUUACAUUGUUAACAGAGCUAGCAUAACUUGAGCAACGCACGCCCGCCGACCGAAGGCCCUCACACGGGGGGCUUUUAUUUUAUGAAGCCACGGUGAGACCGUGAAGGCACCCCCCCCCGUGUUGCGUUUGUGGUCCGGCGAGACGUCGUUGUUCCCUUGCGUCCAGUGACCUCCCUCUUCGGAGGAAGACUUUGUUUGCGCUGGCCAAGAGGCUCCAUGAAUGCUCGAGUCCUCCCUUCCCCCCAUCACCUCACCCCCACCACAGCAGUAGCUCUGUGGCGAAACAGGAACAACUUCUUUUUUUAGGGGAAAAAAUGGGGGAAAAAAAAAAAAGUUCCUGGAGUUUUUCAAGCGCUACUGGCUCGACCAUUUUUUUCUUUUUCUUUUUUUUUGGUAUCUGCCAGGAGUUGUCCAAGUGGGGCGCUGAGAUUUAAUGGGGAGGGGUGUGAAUGACUUGUGGCUGUAGGGUGUCGUGAGUGGGCCAGCUUCCUGCAAGUCCACACGCUCGCGCGCACACACCCGCCCUCCAAAGGGGGAGGGGGCUCACUGCGAGGGCUCCGGUGGAGAGCACACAUCAGUGCCCAGGGGACCUGAGGCUUGGUGCUCCAUAUGAGGCCCUGCUCAAAGGGCAGGGGGGGCUUCUGAGUGUGCCCGAGGGCCAUUGAAAGCCCCCUUGAGGAGUUUCAUAAAUACACAGUGAACGAGAAAAGACUCCUGGACUAUUGUUAUUGUUUUUACCCGUUUUCUCUUUCGCACAAACACACCACACACAUACAUACAGGGGCGGGCGCACACACUCACACAGACAAGGAGACGUAAAGGAGAAUGUUGGAGGUCCAAGAGGAGAGGCCAGCGGCGGCAGGUACAGCAGCGACACAUUUCAGUAAGAAGGAGCGCGGCAAGAAGGAGCGAGAGGAGGCCAAGGACGGACGGGGGAACCUCAGCAACCUCGGGAAUCCAGGCUCCAGGAACGUCCGUGCCAAGGCGCCGCUCGCACACGCGGGCAGUCCACACCAGCACCUCACUUCGCCCUGUUCUGUCGUACUGGUAACCCCAUCAAUGCACUCCAAUAGGCUAAAGAACUCCCCAUCCACCAACACACAAAGCCCUAAACCUAAGACGGAGGCCAUGGUACGCUCACCUCCCGUCAUGUCCCCCUCCACUGCCUCCCAGAUGGACUCUAAAAUGCCCAAUCAGGGUAAACCAGGGAGCGCUGGCAGCCAAUCGCAGCCCUCGCCCUGUGAUCCCAAGACUCUGGGUGCCAAAGGAGCACAAAGCGUGGCAGGGGGCAUCGGGCUGAAGAAUGGCCAGAGCUUGACCUCCGGCACCAGCUCCAAAGUGAAAGUGAAAAGGGAGCGAAGCACAUCGGUGGAAUCGUUCGAACAGCCGGAGAGCGGAACGCCCACGAGUGACGAGAAAGACAGUAGCAGAGUGAAAAGGAUGUGUGUGGCGGAGAGGAGGCAGCCUUACAGUGGAGCCGACUGGUGCUCCGGGGGAGAAAGUGACGAAGAUGACAAAGGAUUCUUCAACUGUAACUCCAGUGACGUGAAGCCGCCAGAUUCUGUCACCCAUUCUACCUCCAACGCUGGUCUCAGCCGCUCAUCCACACCCUCCCACAAUUUACUGGGAGGCCAGGGCUCCACGACGGAACCUGCGAGUGGCCAGAAACCAGGCUCCAAACUAGUCUAUGUCUUCACCACAGAGAUGGCUAACAAGGCAGCUGAUGCAGUUUUGACUGGCCAUACAGAAAACAUCAUCACCUUCCACAUGAAAAACAUCUCCAACGGCAAAGACAAAGCUCACCUCCUCCUGAACAAUGCCGCAAACACCCUCCGAAAUGACUCCAAGCCUUCCCAGCAAACGCCGUCCCAUGGCCUAGAUCAGAGCCACCUGCCUGGAUCCAAGCCGUCCUUAACGGGCAUGGCAGAGCCAGCCCCGCCCCAGUCCACAAACCAGGGAAGCCAGUCUGGCAUUCUUCCACAGGAUGGCUCAUCCACCCAAGGCAUUGAAUCAAAAAAUCUUCCCAGCAGUAGCCCCAGCAACAACGCAGGCCCUAAUGACCAGACACCCAUGAGCCAACCUGAGGCAGGCCUCAACGCUCCCACAGCAGGUGACGUAGGGCAGGGCGUAGGCCCCGGGGGACCGGGCCUGACGCCUCAGCAACAGCAGCAACAGUUGGCUCAGGAGCUUUUAAAUAUGGAGGCCAAUACAGAGGGUCUGUCCCAAGAACAGUUGGAGCAUCGCCAGCGCUCACUGCAGACAUUGCGAGACAUCCAGCGCAUGCUUUUCCCAGAUGACCGCGACGCACCACCCCCUGGGCCUCCACAGUCCCACGGUGGGCCCCACGACGGAGGCCCUGACUGUCCUCCCCGGAGGUCUGAGCCAGGCCCUUUGCAGGCCAUGAUUGCACAAUCUCAAAGCCUUGGACCACCAGGUGGGCCAGGAGGACCUCGCCCACAAGGGCCACCCUUUGGACCUCCUCACGGUCCCAGAGACAUGCCCCCUUUUCCGCAGGAUGAAAUGGGUCCUCACAUGGGAGGCCCGGGUGGCUGUGGAGACGGUGAUCAAAUGACCCCAGAACAGGUGGCGUGGUUGAAGUUACAGCAGGAGUUUUAUGAGGAGAAGAGGAAGAAACAAGAAAUGCAACACCGGCCACUUCCUCCAGACAUGAUGAUGCACCCCCAUGGUCCACGUGCCAUGAUACGAGGACCUCCACCGCCCUAUCAGAUGGGCCCAGGAGAGAUGUGGGGAGGACCAAGUGGGCCACAAGACCCUUACCCAGAACGCAUGGGCAUGGGCCCUGGCCCUGGUCCAAGAGGCAUUCCCCCUCAUAUGCAGAGGAUGCCUGGCUUCUCAGGAAUGAUCAAUCCUGAGAUGGAGGGCCCCCCGCGGCCCGGAAUGGGGUGGCCUGACGACAUGCCACCUCGUAUGGGAGAUGCACGAGGGUUUCCUGGUGGUCCGGGGGCCAUGUUUUCUGGCCCGGGUGGUCGAGGGGAGCGCUUCCCAAACCCUCAGUCAGUCCAAGAAGCAAUGUUCCACCAAGGUAUGGGCGGAGAGAAGGGCCUUCCCCCUGGUAUGAUGAUGGACAUGCAAAGGAUGAUGGGCCACGGCCACCAAAGAGGUGGAAUGGAACCCGGUAAUGGCAUGGGUAUGUUUCCAAGAAUGCCUGGUGACGGUCCUAUGAGUCCAUCGUCAAGGCUCCAGGGAAUGGGCGGUCGAGAAAUGGGUCCCGAGUUCGGCAUGGGGCCUGGUCCUGGGCCAGGACCUCACAUGCACCCUUCCAAGCUACGAGAUCCUCCAAUGAACUUGAGUCCAGAUGAGAUAAUGAGAAUGAGAGGAGGCCCUCCCAUGGAAAACAUGGCUGCGCAGGGCAGGGCAAUGCAAGGGCCGCCCUUCCCUGAGCAGCCGCAACCUGGAGAUUUUCCUAUGGGGCCUGGGCGACCUUUCCCAGGGGGUCCCGGAGGAAUGAGAGGCCCACAUGGAGAGCAACCGUUUGGCCCAGAACACAGAGCAACACCAACGGGAGGCAAUGGUCGCAUGAACCACCUCCCCCCCAAUUCUGGCCCUCCACAGGGCCAAAGAGGGCGCAAGCCAGCAGAUCUGAAUGUUCAAGCAGGUGGGAGCAACUCUCCUAACGUCAACCCACUAAAGUCCCCACCUCUGAGGCAGGUGCAGUCACCUAUGAUGGGCUCGCCCUCCGGAAACCUCAAAUCACCCCAGACACCAUCCCAGCUAGCUGGCAUGCUCACGGGUCCCACGGGCCCCCAGGCCCCUCCAGCACCCCCAUCGUCUGCGCCAAUGAAGUCACCGCACUCCAUGAUGGGAUCGGCGGGAGCCUCCCCCGUUCACAUGAGGUCUCCUUCUCUUCCUAACCCCUCGCCGGGAUGGGCCUCCUCGCCGAAGCCGCCCAUGCAGAGUCCUGGAGUGCCACAACAAGGUGGCAAGCCCCCCCUCAGUCUCACCUCACCAAACAUGAUGGGGAACAUGGAGCAAGGUGGUAAUGGCCCUGCCUCUGCCCCGCCUUCAUCCGGCGCACCGUCCGGCCCCAUGUCCCUCCCAGGCAACGUGCCGACGGGCAGCCCUUACACCAUCCCGCCCGAGCCCACACUCUCCCAGAACCCGCUUUCCAUCAUGAUGUCGCGCAUGUCUAAGUUCGCCAUGCCCAGUUCCACGCCGCUCUACCAUGACGCCAUCAAGACUGUCGCCAGCUCAGAUGAUGACUCGCCCCCGGCGCGCUCCCCUAACCUGCCUUCAGUCAACAACAAUGGUAUGCCGAUGAACCACCAAGGCAAUCCCCGAAUGAUGGGCCCUGGUAACUCUGGACCCAUGCCAGCCCUCAGCCCACUAGGUAUGAACCCAAUGGGAUCCCAGCCCCUCUCACACGGAAUGCCACCACAAAUGCCCUCUCCUAAUGCCCCUAACAUGGGCCCUGGUAUGAUUCCUCACGGCAUGAUGAUCCCCCCUAACCCACAAGACCCCGGGAUGGCCAACCCACAAAUGAUGCCCCAGGGACGUCUGGGUUACCCCCACCGAAACCAGGGUUACCCGCUUACCCAGUCCCCGUCUCAGCAGGGCCCUUUCUCCCCGCACAACGGGCCCGGGCACCAAGGUUUCCCCGGUCAUCCCAUGGGCUUCCAGGUAGAAGGAGGGCCAAUGGGAGGACGGAUGGGGAACAUGCCUCACGGGGGAGGGCCGGACGGAGGCAUGUGCAAGCCAAACACCCCCGGCGGACCAGAGUUCAACAACAUGCAAGGCGGGUUCAGCGAGGCGGACCUUCACGAGGUGAUGCGGCCGGGAGCGUCCGGCAUUCCCGAGUUCGACCUAUCCAGGAUUAUCCCGUCGGAAAAACCCAGCCAGACUUUGUCCUACUUCCCUCGUGGCGGAGGAGACAACCCUGGAGGCAAACCGCCGCACCCCUCCGGCUUCCCCAUGCAGGCCAUGAUGAGCGACGGCCCUCCGAGAAUGGGAAUGCCCAUGCAGGGGAUGGGUGGGAUGCCGGGGGUGCCCGGUGGGGGGAUGGGCCCCCAAGACAUGCCAAUAGGCAACCCUGGCCAAAACCCCAUGCGCCCCCCGGGGUUCAUGGGCCAAGGCAUGAUGGGCCACCAACCCCGGAUGAUGUCCCCGGGUGGUCCCGGGGGAAUGAUGCAGGGGCGGCAAAUGGCCCACCCCGGACCGGUUGGCUCCCCUAACAUGAUGAUGUCACUGCAGGGCAUGGGCGGCCCCCCGCAGCAGACAAUGAUGAUGGGGGGGCAGAUGAGGCCGCGUGACAUGGACAUGGGCUUCAGUCCGGGCCCUGGAAUGUUCUAAUCGGGGAAACUUUGUAUCCAGAAUGUUCUGGGACUUUGGGGUCUUUGUACGUGGGAGGCGCUAAGUGAGGAAGUAUUAUCCAAACAAAGUGGAUGUACCCCGGAAUCAACUGAACGGAGACGCCCUGUCACGUCACGCUCGUGGACUGCGGGGACUUUUUCCCAAUGGAAGUGGGAGUACUUUUUGCCACAAGAACAAUUUGGACUUACGAACUUCAGAAUGUAUGGAAUUGUUGUGCAAAGUUUUUGUGUUUUUUGGGGACUUAUCAUGAGGAGUUGGACAUCAAAGAUGACAGUAUAUGUUAGCUUUCUUUUCCUCUUCCCCGAAUUAAGAACAAAACAAAAAAAUAAUGGAUGCGGUAUGGAACAGGAUCGAACAGGAACAGGAUCGAGAAGAAUUAGUGCUUUGUGAGGUCUUGGGUGGAAUUACACGUUGUCUCCAUUGUUUUUGACUGUUUCUGUACAGUAUAUAUGUGAGCGUGUGUGGUAUGAGCGUGUGUGUGUAUAGGCAUUCUAUCAGUGACCUCUCGACUCCUCUUACCCGACUUUACUUGGGGGGCCGGGGGGGAGCGCCCCCCCCAUCCCCUUAAAAACAUACUGUACUGUUUACCAUUGGUGGGCUAUUCGAAUAUUAGUCUAUUUUAAUUUCCUUUGUUAACUCCAGUGUAUAACAAACCAAACUAUGACCUCAUUAAGAUAAUAGUAUUAUUAAAAAAAAGAAAAAAAAAAAAAAAGACAAAAAGCACAAACAUGGACUGUCUGCCGGAAGCGUCUUCUUUUUCUUUUUAACCACAUGAAGUGUGUGGGGGGUGGGGGUCUUUGCAGCACACAAUUAACACAUGAUUACAAGUUGUGCUCCAAAACUUCCAGGACUUCUUUAGCCAGCGUGAAUCCUAUUGCUAAUACCCAGAUGUGCUAUGUGUGUUCUUGUUCCUGUUUUUACUUUUGUUUUUUUUGGGGGGGCGGGGGGGGGGUUGUUGUUUUUUGACUCUUGUUGACUCUGGGUAAAUCAUUCCCACAGCAAUAAUCCCUCCCCCCUCCCUCCAAGGGUCCUCAGAGUGGAGUGGGCUUGAUGCCGAAUCGAGGUAUGUCAGGUAACAUAGAAAUAGAGUUAGCUAGAUCUGGUGUAACGAUAUCAAAAGCGAGGCCGCGAGCGAGACGCCAAUGUAAACGCGCACUGCUUUUUACCAUCCAGUUGACUUCCUCUCUCUUUUUCUCUGUUGUAUAAGCUUGUCAUGUGUUUCUCCGUUGGCUUUGGUGCAAAUAGUCUACCAGGGCUGUGGUGAUGGACUACAAAUAAAAGAUAUUGUUUUGGAUACCGGUGACGGCAAAGAGUGAUGAUAGGCAUAGAACAGAAAAUGGAAAUUACAGCGACAUAGGAAAGCAUCUGGCUGCUCAGCACAAUAUGACCAGUCGGUAGGUGAUGCUUUAUUGAUCCCGUAGGACCAGAAGCAGGUAUAAACUUAAAUAUACAGGGUGAUUGAAACGUAACUCCCUAUUUUAAAAUACUUAUAAUUUAUUCAUGUUAUAAUAUUUUUCUCCAUUUUUUUGUGUAUGUUCCAUGAUUAAAGGAGCAAGUCUAUUCUACCAAACCAACGACUUUGGAAGAACUUGAAGGGCGAGUACGAGAAGUUAUGUCUUCCAUCCCACAAGAGUUCCUUGUGAAAUCAGUUAAUGUGGUUCCCAGGCAGCUUGAGAAACUGGUGGCUAAUGCUGUCGCCCAUAUCAAAUAAAACUCCAUGCAAUACA